GGCAAGGGGGUCAUCCCGACUUACCAACCCGAUGCAAACUGCGAAUACCGGAGAAUGUUAUCACGGGAGACACACGGCGGGUGCUAACGUCCGUCGUGAAGAGGGAAACAACCCAGACCGCCAGCUAAGGUCCCAAAGUCAUGGUUAAGUGGGAAACGAUGUGGGAAGGCCCAGACAGCCAGGAUGUUGGCUUAGAAGCAGCCAUCAUUUAAAGAAAGCGUAAUAGCUCACUGGUCGAGUCGGCCUGCGCGGAAGAUGUAACGGGGCUAAACCAUGCACCGAAGCUGCGGCAGCGACGCUUAUGCGUUGUUGGGUAGGGGAGCGUUCUGUAAGCCUGUGAAGGUGUGCUGUGAGGCAUGCUGGAGGUAUCAGAAGUGCGAAUGCUGACAUAAGUAACGAUAAAGCGGGUGAAAAGCCCGCUCGCCGGAAGACCAAGGGUUCCUGUCCAACGUUAAUCGGGGCAGGGUGAGUCGACCCCUAAGGCGAGGCCGAAAGGCGUAGUCGAUGGGAAACAGGUUAAUAUUCCUGUACUUGGUGUUACUGCGAAGGGGGGACGGAGAAGGCUAUGUUGGCCGGGCGACGGUUGUCCCGGUUUAAGCGUGUAGGCUGGUUUUCCAGGCAAAUCCGGAAAAUCAAGGCUGAGGCGUGAUGACGAGGCACUACGGUGCUGAAGCAACAAAUGCCCUGCUUCCAGGAAAAGCCUCUAAGCAUCAGGUAA
rnacentral:rRNA from 1 species